AUGAGGACACCCUGGGGAGCUCUGCUGGGAAUCCUGUGGCUCCAGGUUUGCUGGGUGAGAGGGAUGAUGGUGGAGCAGAGCCCUUCAGUCCUGAGCCUCCAGGAGGGAGCCAGUUCUACUCUCAAGUGCAAUUUUUCUAGCACAGUAUACAAUGUGCAGUGGUUCCGACAGCACCCCGGGGGCGGCAGCCUCACCCGGCUGUUUUACAUAACUUCAGGGAUGCAGCACAGUGGGAGGUUAAACUGCACAGUGAAUACUAAGGAAAAGUUCAGCACCCUCCAUAUCACGGCGUUCCGACUGGAAGACUCAGCCACCUACCUGUGUGCGGUGGACUCAGGUUCUGGGUCACAGCAGUCUGUGUGUGAGCUGAGCAGUUGGCAUGGCCACCUGUGGACCAUCGUGCUGAGUGAAGAGAAAGUGUCUAAUGCAAUCCCAGGCAUUUAUCUCUGUGGUUUGGGUCUGAGAAAGUUGUGGUCCAAUCAGUUUGAAAUCCUGAAUGGAGAGUUCCAAUUUAUGUAA